rnacentral:lncRNA from 1 species
CUUGAUUUCUUUCCUUGGACAAGAAACCCUUAACGUUUCUUAUUCAUAACGCUUGGUUUCUUAUUCACAAGGCUUGGUAAAGGAAAUCCAAUACGUUGUGCCCUAACCCAUGAUCGGAGAGGACCGGAGAUGUUGAUGGACUGAAACCGAAGAGUGGAGGCGAGGACGAGGAAGUGGAAGAAAGGGACGUGAGGAUUCGCUGGAGCAUUACCGAUAGGGUUUGAGUAGGUAUGUUUUUGUUCCUUCUUUUCAGUUUGGUAGCUGUCGCUGCAGUGGGUAUUCUCGGGUUAGAUUACUUAGGGUUUGGG